rnacentral:rRNA from 1 species
UUGAACGCUGGCGGCAUGGCUAAAACAUGCAAGUCGAGCGCGAAAGUGGAGCAAUCCAUGAGUAGAGCGGCGAAAGGGUGAGUAAUGCGUUCCUACGUACCUCGAGGUCGGGGAUAGCCAGGGGAAACUCUGGGUAAUACCCGAUGUGAUCGAGAGAUCAAAGGCUUGCCGCCUUGAGAGCGGGGAACGUCCUAUCAGGUAGUUGGUGAGGUAACGGCUCACCAAGCCUUUGACGGGUAGCGGGUGUGAGAGCAUGGCCCGCCACAUCGAAACUGAGACACUGUUCGGACUCCUACGGGAGGCUGCAGUAACGAAUCUUCCGCAAUGCGCGAAAGCGUGACGGAGCAAUGCCGCGUGCAGGAUGAAGCCCCUCGGGGUGUAAACUGCUGUCAGGGAUUAGGAACACAAUGACCAGUCCCAAAGGAAGAGACGACUAACUCUGU